rnacentral:rRNA from 1 species
ACGGAGUACCCCUGAAGGAGUUUUCGGACAACUGAUGGGACUACUUAGUGGCGGACGGGUGAGUAACGCGUGAGUAACCUGCCUUGGAGUGGGGAAUAACAGCUGGAAACAGCUGCUAAUACCGCAUAAUAUGUCUGUGUCGCAUGGCACUGGACAUCAAAGAUUUAUCGCUCUGAGAUGGACUCGCGUCUGAUUAGCUAGUUGGCGGGGUAACGGCCCACCAAGGCGACGAUCAGUAGCCGGACUGAGAGGUUGGCCGGCCACAUUGGGACUGAGACACGGCCCAGACUCCUACGGGAGGCAGCAGUGGGGAAUAUUGGGCAAUGGGCGCAAGCCUGACCCAGCAACGCCGCGUGAAGGAAGAAGGCUUUCGGGUUGUAAACUUCUUUUCUCAGGGACGAAGCAAGUGACGGUACCUGAGGAAUAAGCCACGGCUAACUACGUGCCAGCAGCCGCGGUAAUACGUAGGUGGCAAGCGUUAUCCGGAUUUACUGGGUGUAAAGGGCGUGUAGGCGGGACUGCAAGUCAGAUGUGAAAACCACGGGCUCAACCUGUGGCCUGCAUUUGAAACUGUAGUUCUUGAGUACUGGAGAGGCAGACGGAAUUCCUAGUGUAGCGGUGAAAUGCGUAGAUAUUAGGAGGAACACCAGUGGCGAAGGCGGUCUGCUGGACAGCAACUGACGCUGAGGCGCGAAAGCGUGGGGAGCAAACAGGAUUAGAUACCCUGGUAGUCCACGCUGUAAACGAUGGAUACUAGGUGUGGGGGGACUGACCCCCUCCGUGCC